rnacentral:tRNA from 1 species
GCCGGGAUAGCUCAGCUGGU